GUUUUGAUCUUAACUGGUCUGUGUUCUACGAACAAGAAGGUGCUCACCUGACAGCACAGAACAGAGUGGAAAAUGUAUGUGGAAGCAUCAACAGAUUUCAUAGUGGAAUUUUGUUAGAUUCUGUGGCUGUCUCUUCUCAAUGCCUCAUUAGCGAAGAGGUGGCCUUUUUGAAGCUGACUGACAAGCGUCCUGCUGAUCUUAUUCCCUGCUGGCAUGGUUGGAUCUUGACAAGGGCAGGAAGGAAAAGAAAGGAAAGCUAUCUGUGAUCCAAAGGCCUGAGACUUUGGGGGAAAAAUGUUCCCAAUGGGACCUUCAUGACUGAACUCCACAAUUUGUAUGUGUGUUAAAAUAACAUCGGAUCCACCUUUCAAAGAAGAUCAUUAUUUUUGAAAUACAGAUGUGAAACAUCAGCUUCUACAUAUGUUUACAACAUGUAUAAAGACUAAUGCAGGAAAGAAUGAGAAUAUUCCUAUUAUAUCUAUUUUGUAAGGAGAAGAGGUGAAUCUUUAUGAGAAUUCUCAAAAAGAAAAUUUAAGGGGCAGAAUUUUCAGUGUAGUUAUGCAAUCUGUUCUUUCAGGGUGAUGUCCUUCCAUCAUCACUAACAAGUGUUCCCACCCUUUGACAUUUGCUAGUACACUAUUUGGUCAUAGCAACGGUAAAAUAUGUUCCUUGUUUUACUUUGUUAAAAGGAAAUGCAUCAUCUAUUGUACUAGUUCUGGGUGAAGCUUACAGGUUUAUAGGGAAUUCCUGAUAAGAAUGUUAACAACAAACUCCAUGGCUACUUAAUAGUGAGCUGAGGAUUUGAUUUGAAAAUGCAUACCAGAUGUUCUCAUUAAAGUAUUUUGACUUCUUUAUUUUUCUAUUUAUACUAAAAGAGGUAAGUGAGAUCUUAGAGUAAAACCCACAAAAGCAGAUAUCACUAUUAUUGGAGUUCUAGUUUGAUCACUGAAUUCUUUUCCUUCACAUCACUAAAUAUAGCAAAAGUAUGAGAUACCUUAUAUAGCUUAAAACAUGGGUUAACACAUCAAAGGAUCACCAUGUAGGUUAUAAAUGGAAUCUCUUUAAGAGAUGAAUGAAUAGUUCCUCUACGUAUUAUUUGAUGUAUUUAUAGUUAAACAUCUCAGUGUAGCAAAUUAAUCCUUCUCUAAGUCAGAGUUCCCUUUGCUGCCAAGUGAAGAUCAUAGUAACUGGCACACCUGCUUCAGCGAUUUGUACUGAUGAUCAUAUGAGAAAUGUUUAUAGAAUUAACUUAUAAGUGAUGAAGCA
rnacentral:lncRNA from 1 species